rnacentral:rRNA from 1 species
UAGUGAGUUUGAUCCUGGCUCAGGAUGAACGCUGGCGGCGUGCUUAACACAUGCAAGUCGAACGAUGAUCCGGUGCUUGCACCGGGGAUUAGUGGCGAACGGGUGAGUAACACGUGAGUAACCUGCCCUUAACUCUGGGAUAAGCCUGGGAAACUGGGUCUAAUACCGGAUAUGACUCCUCAUCGCAUGGUGGGGGGUGAAAGCUUUUUUGUGGUUUUGGAUGGACUCGCGGCCUAUCAGCUUGUUGGUGAGGUAAUGGCUCACCAAGGCGACGACGGGUAGCCGGCCUGAGAGGGUGACCGGCCACACUGGGGACUGAGACACGGCCCAGACUCCGUACGGGAGGCAGCGAGUGGGGAAUAUUGCACAAUGGGGCGAAAGCCUGAUGCAGCGACGCCGCGUGA